AUUGAACGCUGGCGGCAGGCCUAACACAUGCAAGUCGAACGAGUGGCGGACGGGUGAGUAAUGUCUGGGAAACUGCCUGUUGGAGGGGGAUAACUACUGGAAACGGUAGCCAAUACCGCCUACCCUCGGAUGUGCCCAGCGGGGAUUAGCUAGUAGGUGGGGUAAAGGCUCACCUAGGCGACGAUCCCUAGCUGGUCUGAGAGGAUGACACGCCACAUGGGAACUGGGACACGGUCCAAACUCCUACGGGAGGCAGCGGUGGGGAAUAUUGCACAAUGGGCGAAGUCCUGAUGCAGCCAUGCCGCGUGUAUGAAGAGGGCCUUCGGGUUGUAAAGUACUUUCAGCGGGGAGGCGUUACCCGCAGAAGAAGCACCGGCUAACUCCGUGCCAGCAGCCGCGGUAAUUC
rnacentral:rRNA from 1 species